rnacentral:rRNA from 1 species
GACGAACGCUGGCGGCGUGCUUAACACAUGCAGGUCGAACGGAAAGGCCCUGCUUUUGUGGGGUGCUCGAGUGGCGAACGGGUGAGUAACACGUGAGUAACCUGCCCUUGACUUUGGGAUAACUUCAGGAAACUGGGGCUAAUACCGGAUAGGAGCUCCUGCUGCAUGGUGGGGGUUGGAAAGUUUCGGCGGUUGGGGAUGGACUCGCGGCUUAUCAGCUUGUUGGUGGGGCAGUGGCUUACCAAGGCUUUGACGGGUAGCCGGCCUGAGAGGGUGACCGGCCACAUUGGGACUGAGAUACGGCCCAGACUCCUACGGGAGGCAGCAGUGGGGAAUAUUGCACAAUGGGCGGAAGCCUGAUGCAGCAACGCCGCGUGCGGGAUGACGGCCUUCGGGUUGUAAACCGCUUUCGCCUGUGACGAAGCGUGAGUGACGGUAAUGGGUAAAGAAGCACCGGCUAACUACGUG